UGGGUUGUGGCUCAGAGGUAGAGUGCUCACCUGGCAUGUGUGAGACACUGAGUUUGAUUCCCAGCAUCACAU
rnacentral:tRNA from 1 species